AUGAGACUACACAGCACCCUCCUCACGCGCGCACGCCCUCAUCGGCACGCAUUCUGGUACCCGUCACCUCGGAGCUGGACAAACUUGGGGAUCCAAAAAACCGCGGUCCUGCUUCCUAGCGCCGUUGGGCUCUGCAGCGUCGUCCCCCACGAACCUCCCUGCCCCCUGCUCCUGAUUCCCUUUCAGGAAUUUACAAACAUUUUUCCUAGAUCAAUAUCCGUAUUGAUUAUUCAUUGUGAGCGAGUCGUGUGUCUUUGGUGAUCCUGCUUGCAGAGGGUAGCAGCUAAAGGCUGCUGCAGGGGGAAAAAAAUAACAGGAGGUGAGAGCGACCCAGCUCUGGCUGUGGUCUGUGGCUGUCACAUCACAGAGAGGAAGAAGAGGAGGAUGCUUCAGAAGGAAAGGAUGGAAGAAGAUGGAAAAGGAAGAGGAAGCAACAGCAAGGAGUGAUGUGAGGACCGGACAUCUGGUCUUAGGGAUCUCAAUGGCUUGGAGGAGAGCCCCAUCAUCUUGGGUCUGCUGCUAGGUGCUAAAGUGCCGUGGGUUCCUCUGCUCUGGGAGUGACUCACAGUUUUGGUGUCUUCCUACGUAAGAGCUUUUGGUGGGGGGGAUUCCUUGGCUUGCUGACAGACAAGGAAGGACGCAGCAGCAGUGAGGUUAAAAAAAAAAAAAAUAAAACAAACCAGGAUUCCUUUCCAACCGCCUCGCCGAAGAUGUGCACCCGUUUGGUUUGAUUUGAACAGCUUUCUGCUCUAAAUGGCAUGUGGAAGGAGGAUAAUUAAAAAGGCCAGCAUCACUUUACUAAUUACUUCAUGAACAACGAACCCAGCCACCGGCACCGUGGUGGUGGUCCGCUCACUUGGCUCAAGCCCGCACGACGCUGUGCGAGGGGGCACCUCAACAGCGAUGUCACCGUAACAGUGACGUCACCAACCCCAAACACACCAGGUGAAGAACGGAGCCCCAUGGAGAGAGCCUCAUUCACAGAAGGAGAUGUCACCUUACUUGACUUCAGCCGGGAACUCAUCACCUUCGCCCCCUCCCCCCAGCUCAGUGAAUAACCACUGAAAGAACCGAGAGGUCAAGGACUUGUCGCAUGGUCACCCCCCGAGAGGUCAAGGACUUGUCGCAUGGUCACCCCGUCAAUGACAAACAGGAAGUCAGAAUUCCAAAGCAACAACUCGCCAUAGUGUCCUUUGCACUGAGCACCCUAUUCCGUUUGUGAAUUUCUUGUCCUUCGCAUCUGGUAUGCCCAUUCCCAUAGUGAGAACUUGGAUAUUGCCAAGACGAAUAUCAGGGGGGAAAAAUGAGUUCUGAGUAGCUGCACUUACCUUCUUCCGAUCUGCCCCGAAGAUGACAGCAGGAACUUAGAGCAGGCCUCUGCCCGAGCAGAAUGACUGAGUCACCAAACCAGAGCCUACGAUAAAGCAAAAAAGAAAGAGUUUCAAUAAAAUAACCAUUAGCAACAACAACAACAGAUGCUGACCACGAACCGCUCUGUGAUCAAGCCAGUUCAAGGAGUCCUAAUUCCCAUCAUCAUCUCUAGGAGCCAUGGAAGCUAGAAGAAGGAGCCUGAUCUGCUGGACUUGCAGUUACAGGAGGCUGAGCUGCGUGACAUGGGUACUGGGAACUGAACUCAGAUCUUUUGAAAAAGCAGCCCAUACUCUUGACCACCGAGCCAUUUCUCCAGGUUUCAGUCUUGUUUAACAUGGAUAAAUCCUUAAAUCUUCAGGAACUUCCUAUUUGAAGACCAUUGCUUUAUCUUUCACUUUGUAGUCUCCCUUGUCUAGGUUUUUUGUUUUGUUUUGUUUUUGUAAAAAGUAUCAGAGAUGUGAUAUGCCACUGUGGAUACAUUGUGUCCUCUGC